GCACUAAGUGAGAGCAGGUAGAAGCUUGGACAGCCCUCUGGGAUUGUGUGGUGGGAGGUGAGCACUGCUUCACGCACAGAUGCUGGCAUGCCCAGUGUCAGAAAAUUAAAACUAAGGAAUGAAAAAGGCCUUUGCUACCAUUUUCACUCUUUGUGAAAUGUUGAUCAUAAAAAACAAAUAAUGAAGAAAAAAAAAAAAAAGAAAACAUCUCCAUCUACUAGUUUCAGUAAACUGCAUGUGUUGUCAUUUAAAUAAAAUGAAACAGAAUUUUUCCAGCAGUAAUACACUAUGUUUUUAAUAGCUCCACUUAUCUCAAUCUUAUUUUGUCUUGGCACUGGUGGUGCAAUCUUGGCACUGGUGGUGCAAUCUCCAACACUAGCCUCAACAUUUUAAAUUUAUCAGGUUCUGAGGACUAUCUGUUGAAAUAAACAGCCUAUCCACAGUGGCAACAUUAAGAGCAUUGAUGGAGCCUCAAAUAGAAUUGGUGGGUGCUUUGCAGUGCCAAAUUAAAUAACAACAGAAAAAUUCAUGCUGUAGAUGUCAUACCCCAUGCAAGCAAACUGAAUUCCCACAGCCUCAUUUCAGGGCAUAAAAGUCUGGUGAACAGAAAACAGCAAGAUGGCAACUAUUGGACAGAGUUCACGUCCACUUGCAGAGAUGAUGCUGGGGCACACCUUUGUUCUCAGCUUGCCCCAGCUGUCUAACAAAAUGUGUUAAUGUGUCCUUCUCCACCGGCCAAAUGGAAGGAGGGCAACCAGAAGAGGUGUAGAACUGAACCUAUCCAUGAGCUCAGGUUUCUGCUGCUCUUUCAAUGCUGCCCUGAAAUUACGGAACAGAGGUACCACAGUAGCAAUUUACACAAAGGUGGAAGUGCAAGUUAUAGUCCGCAUUUUCUUUCAUUUUCACUCAUUGUUCAAUAAUUCAUAUAUACUCAAGAUUUCAAAUUACUUUCAAGUUCUAUGACUAAUAGGGUGUGGAGCUGUAAUUUACUUACAUGAAUGUUUCAUUAUUUCCUUUCUACUGAAUUUGGAGAAAGUAUCACAAAACCUCAAUUCCUUAGGAUUGUAACUGGAAUGCAGUGAUUGAGCUGAAAUUUGACUCUAAUUUAACAUGUAAAUUCUGACCAUCAACAAAAGGGAAAAGAUCACUGUGUGAAGUUGUAGUUUCACUUCAUCAUUACCUUCCAUUUACCAGGAGUGCUUCUGAUGCAUUUGGAGAAGGUCCCAGUGCCAAGAAGAGAAAAAUAGAGCAUGUGAAACAUCAAUUAUUAAAGUAUAAUAUUCAUUACAAUGGAUGUAGUCACUAGGAAUUGCUAAUGGGCUUAGAGAGACAUGUUGGUCUUGAUUUACAGAUGUGAACUGAUGUACUGAUAUUUAGACAGAAUAAGUACUGGGUAUAUAAGGGGUGGCAUUAAGAAAGCACCCACUUAGACUCAAUAAAAAUGAGAAAAAAAAAGUUAUGUAUUAAUAUUUUAUUCUCUGCCCUUAGGGUUGUAAGGUUGAAAUCCAUCCCUUAGGUUUUCUCCAAAAAAGCCCUUCAAUUUCUGUAUUGUAGCAUCUUAAAAUUUACAUAUUUUGCCUCCUAUUUCCUGCUCACUCCUGAGACUGCCCUUCCUCUGCUUCCAAAGCUGCCAGGGCUCUUGCUCUCUCAGAAGACCAUCUGAAACUCUUUGCUGACUUGUGCCUAGCCACAGCACCAUCAGCCCAGCUCUCUACAUGGGCCAGAGCACCUUCUAACUCUUGCUGAAGGGCUGUGGCUGCCAGAAUCUGUGUUCUGUACAACUGCAAAGCUCUACAUGCACACUGACAAUUUACAGCCAUCCUUCACCAGCCAAGGCAAAAGCUCCCUCGCUGCCCCAGCCCUUACCCAGGGACAAAACACCCUGGAUGGCAGCAGCCCACACAAUGUCUUAUCUCGUGGAGCUCUAUCAAGACUAGCUACAACAAGUCAGUAUGUGAACAGCAGCUCCCCAGAACUGUUGCAAUGAAAGGCAAAUCUGGAGACCUGGGAUAUACAGCCCAGUUCCCAGGAAAGAUUGCCUAAUGAAGGGAGGGGAUUGCCAGUGUUGUUUUUUAAGAACAGGUUACACAAAAAAGCAACAGAACUGGCAGAGCCAGAGAUAAAUAAGCCUGCCUUUGGGCAGGGGGAGGCAUUCAAAGACAUGGUACAUUCUCCUCUGCUUUCUAUCAUCUGCCUAGGUACACUGAUUUUUGGUAUAUUUCUUAAGCCUUUUCUUUGUGCCCACACUAAUUUGGAUGAUGAACCAGCAGAGAAGUGCUGGAACAGGAAUCAGGAUGAGCAGGGCAUGUUUUCU